GAUGAACGCUGGCGGCGUGCCUAAUACAUGCAAGUCGAGCGAACGGACGAGAAGCUUGCUUCUCUGAUGUUAGCGGCGGACGGGUGAGUAACACGUGGAUAACCUACCUAUAAGACUGGGAUAACUUCGGGAAACCGGAGCUAAUACCGGAUAAUAUUUUGAACCGCAGGGUUCAAAAGUGAAAGACGGUCUGGCCGUCACUUAUAGAUGGAUCCGCGCUGCAUUAGCUAGUUGGUAAGGUAACGGCUUACCAAGGCAACGAUGCAUAGCCGACCUGAGAGGGUGAUCGGCCACACUGGAACUGAGACACGGUCCAGACUCCUACGGGAGGCAGCAGUGGGGAAUCUUGCGCAAUGGGCGCAAGCCUGACGGAGCAACGCCGCGUGGGUGAUGAAGGUCUUCGGGUCGUAAAGCUCUGUUGUUAGGGAAGAACAUCUGUGUAAUUAUCUCUGCACGUCUUGACGGUACCUAAUCAGAAAGCCCCGGCUAACUUCGUG
rnacentral:rRNA from 1 species